UUGCAGCACACUAUUAUUAGAUACAGAUUGUGCAUAUGUGUGUGUAGGAGGAGCUUGGGCUUUUCCUGCAGCUGCGCUGAGCCUCGCAGGGCCGUGCAGCAGCUCUGUGCAGUCGGUGGCAGGCCCAGCUGGGCACCGGCACGGAGUGCUGCGGGGCUCCGCGCCUCCCCCCUGACACCAGCCCACCGGAGAGCUGCUGGAGCCACGCAGGACAAAGGGCUACAGGGAAGUGGGAAAGGGAAGAGAAGAGCAGAGCAGGGGAGUGCUACCGAGCAAACACACGUGGCUGAGAAAUACGGAGCCCCUUCUGUCACAGCGCUGCUCCUGGAGACGUGGGGUGGGAACAGCAGCAGCUGAGCAGCGGUGCCAGUGCCCGCAGCCCCCAGGGGACAGCACGGGUGGGUGCCCUCUGGCCACAACAGUUCAGGGAAGGAGAGAGGGAGAAAUUUGCCCCCUGCCUUCUUCCUUCAGAUGUAUGACUCAAGAACUGCCCUGUUGGUCACACGGCUUUCAGUUUAAAUGCUGGAGGAAUAUGCUGAGAGGUUAAGGCUGAAGGGAAGAGGCUUGGUGCCUCAGCUCUGCCUUCUGUAACCUGGCAUUGCCUCGUAAGGCUGAUGUAACUCCUGGUCUAUAACUGUGAAGCUCUUUGUGAUCGGCAGAAGGUAGAGACUAGAGAAGGAAAUUAAUAAAACAAUAAAUACUAAUCUUAGAAUGACUUUCAGCCACCCUUAAAGAGGAAGGAAAGAGCAGAUUAUGCACCGUAACUUAUAUACAGACUCCUGUGAAAUUACAGGAAUUGUCAGAGGUUAACAUAUUGCCCCCAAAGGCUCUUCUGUGCUUAUGCAGAAAGUUGUAUCUAUCCUCGUCCAUUACUGCAGUAACAAGGCACAAGGCUUGAAACGAUUGCAAAUGAAAGAAAACGGCAUUACGAUACGGUCUCCUCGCCAAAACACUGCCUGGUACAGCUAAGCAUGCGGCCCUCUGAGCGCUGAGAUAAAGAGACGGGAAAACCAGAGGCCUGAAGGCAGCCGAUGCCACCACCACUCCAUCUGCGGGCAGUGGAGGCUGGCCGCGUGCCCUCCUCCCCGUGCCGCCUGCCCGACCUUGCUCGGCUCCGCCGCAGGGCAGCGAUCGACGGACGGGUGCCCUUCGGUGGCUCACUGACAUUCGUGCAAUGUGGAACUGGGUUUGAGCGUAUGCAUUCCUCUCCUCACCCAGAAUGAAAGCGAAACUCGGCGAGUUAUUUCGGUCCUCGCCAAACCCGAAGCGUGGCAGAGGGACCGGCUGUGCCUCCAGGCUGGUGGCAGCGCAGCGAGCGGGUCCCUUGCUAGGAUGCUUGGCCACAGGCGGCAUCUCCCCGAAGGGACUGGUGACUAUUUUUAUUGAGAGACCUUUCUAAAUAACUGAAAAAGAAAACAGGAAACCGCAGCACUGUGGACUGGAGCCCGAAGUGUUCUCACACAUCUGCUGUUACUGGGGUGGCCACCAUUAGGCAGUGGAAACUAAUGGGGAUGCUGGUGAGAAGACGGAGUAAGUGCAUUUAAUCACUGCGUCCUUUUACCUGUACCGCUACCGGUCAACUGGGACGAUCCCUCAAAUUCAUGACACUCACAUAGGACAGUCAACGGGAGCCAACAUUUCAGGCACAACUGACAGUGACAACUGGGCGCACUGGUGAGACACCAUCGCAUAUUUUCUGGUGCUCCUCCCCAGCCCAAAACAAGAAAAAAGUGAUCAUGAAAAACCUUUGUGAGACCAUGAAAUGGUGGAGGAACCACGAUGAAGGAAACUGGUGAAUUUCAGAGAAUUAUAGUAUCAUUUCUGAACAUCUACAUAGUCCUUAGUGAGCAUCAUUAGUUUAUUGUGGUUUAAAUAAUGAAUCUGGAACAGGACUGCUACUUCUUAUGCUCUUUUGAAGAAGUCUCUCGUGAUACACUUAGAUACAGGAACGUGUAAAAGCCUGUGAGCCCUGUAUGGCUCUGAGGACUUCAUGUCCAGAAAUGGUCUCACAAUGACAGGAUGAGACUGACCCCUGCAUUUUCAAACCGCUUUAUAUGAUUUUACUAACUGCAGAUUUUCAGAUGCUCUGUGAUUUUCUGAAUGCUCCAAACUACAAGAGAACUUUUGAAUAUUGGUACAUAAUUCAGAUCAUCUCUUUAUAACAUGGCCAAGCUAAUAAGUUGGAGCACAAGUGAUACAACUUUCUUUUCCCCUGCAGUUUCAGAUUUACUUAGUUGCAUUUAGGACCUUUAAGCAUUGGAGUGAAGAGAGAAUACAGAGACAAAUAUGUUGUUUGUUUUCCCAGUGCCAGAUAGAUGGAUUCAAUUUUCAGAUUCCUUAAACUGCCAACAAUGAAAAGUUGUAAAAAAAAAAAAAAAAAAAAAGAAAAGAAAAGAGGGGGGGGAAGCAUUUGUUUUAAAGAUCUGUCAUGGUUUCUAUAAACUGCACAGAAUUUUUUUGUCAUUUAUAACAAAAUUGAUGUCACAUGUACAUUCUAUCACUCGCAUCUGAUGAUGUUACUUUAGUGAGAAGUUCAAAUACGGUUAAAAGAAGAGAAUAUAGCUUUUUUUUUUUUUUCUUUUCUUUUUUUUUUUCCCCCAACCACCUUCAUUUUCACCACAGGGGCAGCUCUACCCCAGACCUGGGGAUUUUGUUAAAAGGCCCCUUCGUAUUCAUGUUGCUCCUCAGUGCAGUAGGACUCUGGAGGCUCAGCAGACACCCACGGGGUAUCAGUGCUGGGGGGUUUGAGGACUGCCUCGUGGCGGGGCUGGGCAGCUGCUGGGACGUUCCCAGGGCAGGGGCAGCCCGGCUCCAGCAGUGCUGAGCUCCCCGCAGUCUGCCCUCACCUCAACCAGUGCUGUCUGGCAACGGGGAUGGAGCCCUGCAUGUUAACAUGUUACGUCUAAAAAGAGGCAAUUUUUUCCCUUCGGCACUGAAUACUUUUCACAGCUGUGUGCUGUGGAGAGGCAAAGGAGAAAUGCUUGGGAAGCACAUAGAACAGAGAGGUCAUUUCUGUUGAGCUUUUUAUUUCCUGUCUUUAAGUCUGAAUUAAUUUAGAGUGCAAUUUUUAAACAACACUUGCAGCCAGUGAGAAUUGGACAAAGUUCCUCUGCUUCCCUGACACUUUUCCACCUUAAGCAGGGAUAAACACAUUCUUUAUUUUCAAAGCUCCUCAGGAUGGUAGUUAUGCAAGUUUCCCAGAACAGAUUUCCUUCACCAUGCACAGAGGGGUUAAGCUGCAAGCCUGAAAGUCACUGAGCAGGAGGGCUUCCAGGACAGCCAGGGAGUCAGCUCAUUCCCAGCCAGGAAAGAGAUGAAAGACCAAAUCCUGAGCUGUCACCCCUGACAGCCUUGCUUAAAUAGGACUGGGUCAGGCUAAUGGCUGGCUGUCAACAGGAGUGAGUGUUUAUAAAAAAUGCUAAAAAUAGUCUACAGUAUGAUAUAUGCACUCAUGGGAUAAUUCGCAAAGCGUACAAAGAACAAUUAGGGCCACAAAAUCCAUCGACUGCAAGGCCAAUUGCGAUCACCCAACAUGGUCACCAAAAGACCACAGGCGAUCCAAUUUCUGUAUUGCCUAGGGAACAAUACCUAAUUUUAAGUUUGUGUUUUCCAGUGGGAGAGACUUCUGCCCAGGCAUUUUAGCCCUGCUGGGGUGAGCUUCCUUCAAAAUGAAACGUAUGGGCUCGUCUCAGGGGUAGCCUGGCUGACCUCUAGGCACUGGAUCUCGCUGCUCCUUGCUUUUGGGACAGAAGGCCAUCCAUUUAAUAACCUGAUGGGGAAGCCAGGUCCCCCUCUGAAGGCUACACGUUUCGUUGCAAAAUGAUGUGAAGUGAUAUAGCUGAUCACUAACAGUUAACAGUGUGAGUUCUCGAACAAGCUCUGCAUGUAAAGUGUUGGUUGAUGUCCUAGAACUGCUCCCUGCUCUGGAAGGCCUGGAAAGCAUUUGUGACUUACACAUUACCAUAUCUUCACAUGGAAACUCUGCAAAAUGUAUUAGCUGUUGUCACCCAGUCCCAAUACUGAGUCCGUUUGAGAAGGCAUCAGCACCCAGAAAGGUAGCCUGUUAGUAGAGCAGUGGUAUGUACUGGUAAUAAAAGUCUGCCUCGUUUCCUGCUAUCUGUUAGGAAAUAGAGAUAACCAGGUUUGGGUUAGAGAUCAUCUACACAUUGGGAAGUCACAGCUGGGAAAAACGAGCAUCAAUAAGAAGUAACGAGGUAAGACACAAAACAGUUUUCAAACCAGUUCUGAAGAACUGGCCUACUUAAUGCAGUCUUUCUAAACCAAAGGUGACUACAUUUCUCACUCUUUCUCUUGCUGAUACGUCAUGAGAUUAAUUUUCCACUUUGCGUUUACUCUUAACUCACAAGGACUAAAACAAAAAGUUGUUUUAUGCACUGGGUAAUUUUUUGCAAACAGUAUUUGAGAAAAUCUAACUAGAGCAAACCCUAUCUCAGCUUCCUCUGGCACGCAUCUAUCUUUUUUUCGGUUUCAUUUCCUUAAAGGAAAUAGACUCAUUCUGCUCUGAGACCUUUUAUUCCUCCUGGGCGUAUAUGCCACAGAAAAGUAAUUAAUAUGUAAUCACAGACUAAUUAAAUAUGUUCUUUUAUGUUUUGCAUUUAUAAAUCAUGACUAACAGCCUGAACUCUCAGGUCAAUGGACAUCUUCAUCCCCUACUGUUUUCUGUAUUCCUGUUAUAGCCAUAUGCUUCAUUUUAUUCACUUUCAAAGCACUACGCUAUGUGUUUCAGAUAGUCAAGCAAUAGCGCUCACUGAUCCGUACAACUCUUCAAACAGAAGUGGAAAAAGAAGGGCCAAAGACAGGACGCAUCACCUGGAGCUCCUACAGCCUAAGCGCUGUCCCAAACUCCUUCAGAAAGACUUGCUGAACCAGCACAACUCCUUAUCAAAUAUUAAACCAAAUGAUGAUGCACAACAGUUUACCUCAGCCUAAUUCCCUUUUUUAAGCAUAUUUUUUUCUUCCUAAUCUCAGGCAUUUGGGGUAACUUUCCAUUGCUCUGCCUGGGUUCCAGGAGGGCCAGGCCUGCACACAGAGCCCUCUGCCAGAACGCGCCUCGCGGCCAGCACGUGCUUUGCACAUCAACAAGAUUUCGGCAGAAAAAAAUAGGAACUUCAUUGCCUUUCUGUCUUUAAUACACAGAUGACAAGCUUUUAUAAAUCAGUGUCCACUUUUUGGUGUUUGUUUGUUUGUUUUUAGAGCUUGCUUGCCGCCGGUUGGAGUGGUGGAGGCUGCGCUCCCGGCUGCGGUUACGCCGUCCCCUGCGGCGCCUGGAGCUUGGCCUCCGCGAGGAGGCUCCGUGGGGCACGCCGCAAAGAAAAAGCAGCGUAGCUGGCUGGCUUCAAAUGAAAACACUUUAUUCACAAAUAUUCUUUGUAACCCGUCGUGCAUUUUAAAAAGAAGUUCUCACUAACAGUC